rnacentral:misc_RNA from 1 species
GAUGAAGAACGUAGCGAAAUGCGAUAAGUAAUGUGAAUUGCAGAAUUCAGUGAAUCAUCGAGUCUUUGAACGCACAUUGCGCCCCCUGGUAUUCCGGGGGGCAUGCCUGUCCGAGCGUCAUUGCUGCCCUCAAGCACGGCUUGUGUGUUGGGCCCCCGCCCCCCGGCUUCGGGGGGCGGGCCCGAAAGGCAGCGGCGGCACCGCGUCCGGUCCUCGAGCGUAUGGGGCUUCGUCACCCGCUCUGUAGGCCCGGCCGGCGCCCGCCGGCGACCCCAAUCAAUCUUUCCAGGUUGACCUCGGAUCAGGUAGGGAUACCCGCUGAACUUAAGCAUAUCAAUAAGCGGAAGA